UGAGUAAUACAAACCACCCCUUUUACCCA
rnacentral:piRNA from 1 species